UGGGGGAUUUUGCACAAUGGGCGCAAGCCUGAUGCAGCGACGCCGCGUGAGGGAUGAAGGCCUUCGGGUUGUAAACCUCUUUCGCUGGGUUGAAAGGCCAUGCUUUGGGUGUGGUUGAUUUGAACUGGUAAAGAAGUACCGGCUAACUACGUGCCAGCAGCCGCGGUAAUACGUAGGGUACUAGCGUUGUCCGGAUUUAUUGGGCGUAAAGGGCUUGUAGGUGGUUUGUCGCGUCUGUCGUGAAAUCCUGUGGCUUAACCAUGGGCUUGCGGUGGGUACGGGCAGGCUUGAGUGCGGUAGGGGAGACUGGAAUUCCUGGUGUAGCGGUGGAAUGCGCAGAUAUAAGGAGGAACACCGGUGGCGAAGGCGGGUCUCUGGGCCGUUACUGACACUGAGGAGCGAAAGCGUGGGGAGCGAACAGG
rnacentral:rRNA from 1 species